rfam:Cryptococcus amylolentus CBS 6039 supercont1.15, whole genome shotgun sequence.
GCCUGCGUAGUGAUAAUGGUAGCACGUGAAUCUUGUAAAUUUGAGGUAGGGGUUCGAUUCCUCUCGCGGGCA